rnacentral:rRNA from 1 species
CCCUUAGAUGUCCGGGGCUGCACGCGCGCUACACUGAAGGAAUCAGCGUGCUAAAACCAUUGUCGAAAGGCAUUGGUAAACCCAUUAAAAUCCUACGUGAUUGGGAUCGGGAAUUGCAAUUAUUUCCCUUGAACGAGGAAUUCCCAGUAAGUGUGGGUCAUAAACUCGCGUUGAUUACGUCCCUGCCCUUUGUACACACCGCCCGUCGCUGCCCGGGACUGAGCCGUUUCGAGAAAAGCGGGGACUGCUGCUGUCGGGGCUUUCGGGCCUUGGCUUCGGUGGAAACCGCUUUAAUCGCAGUGGCUUGAACCGGGCAAAAGUCGUAACA